UUGUGAGCUUCUUUUAGUGAAAAUUUAAAUGGUCAUGUUCUCAUGGUAUGAGCAUCUACCAACAAAUUCUCUAAUUAAAAAAAUAUUUUUGUUAUAUAUUAAUAAUAUUUUAUAUUUAAAUCAACUAAAAUAUUGGAUAGUUGACAGUUUCAUUGGAUUUUUAUUUCAACGUUUUGACAAAGUUUUCUCCUUCAGAACCGUUUUUAGGUAGACCAAAGAAAGCCAACCUUGUAAACAUCAUUCACAAGAAAAUUCCAAAAUAGAGGAAAACGCUCCUGCGUCAAUAAGCAACUCGUAAAGCCAUGUACACUUGGUAUUGAUCCAAAUUUAGAAGUUUUGGGUUUGUGCACAAAUAUAAUUUUCCUUUUAAUGGUAAAAACAUCAUUUCUCUUGACUCAAGGGUCCUGUACACUAAUAUAAAUGUUACUUUUAUAACUGGUAGAUUUUUAACUGUGCAAAAAGCUUUAUAUUUUCAAAAAAAAAGCUUUAUAUAUAUAUAUAUAUAUAUAUCAAUUUGAUGAAAACAUCUAGCUCCAAUUUCCCUUAACAAAGUAGCUAAAUAGUCAAGCAUUAGUUAAAAGCCUUGUUCGGAAACUCGCUAUGCGCUACGCAUGCGGUGCAUACAGGUCUAGCGAUUUAUUUAAAAGCACGAAGAAAAUUCGGAGAGUACUCGGCUCAGCGUAGUCAAGCAUUAGUGCAUGGCUAAGUGUAGAAAGCAUCCGAUUUUGCCCAAUUCACCACGUUCCACCUAUGCAUCACGUAAACUCGGCCGAGUAAUCGGCUCUGCGGACGAGUUUUUGAACAAGGGUUAAAAAUUUAAGAAGUGAUCCACUGCGUCACGUAUACUCGGCCGAAUAAUCGGCUCGAUCUGUGGACGAGUUUUUGAACAAGGGUUAAAAGUUUAAGAAGUGAUCCACUUAAUUAAUGACAUGACGCCAUCGCCACUUCUUUUCUUCCACUUGUGCUAUUUUCCAUCAUUUUCAUUUCUAUAGAACCGCUGCUGUUGUUACCACUGACAACAAUAGUCCUAACUGAUUUUUGUACUUCGUUUUCCUCCAGUGGAACUAGUCCAUUUAGCUUUUUCUUCAUCUCAUUAUGCUUUCCCCAUAACACAACAUAUAGCCCGCAUACAAUCAAGAUUGCUCCAAGUACACUAAAAUUUUGAAAAUAUAAUUAGUAUAUGCGUUUUACUAUAUAUAUAUGUCUAAUUAAAUUCCAAAAUGUAUAUUGCAUUUACCUUCCUAAAUGUAUAUUGCAUUUUACCUUCCUAAGUAAAGCUUUUCGUCCAAGAACAAAUUACCAGCUAACGCAACAAUCACGAGCAGGAGGGGGUUAAAGACGGCUACGAAGAGUGGACCCCCAUUGUUCCCUAGUUGUUUUAGUUCCAAUAUUUAUUCGUUUGGUAAUAGUGUUAGUUCAAUAUAAAGAGGUUUGAUAGCAUAUAUUAUAUUCCAAAAAUGUCAUAGAAUGGAAAUGGGAUAUAUACCAAAUAUGCAACGGUCCAUAACCUAAUGUCCCAGCCGAGCUUCCAUUGUGUCCAAUCCCUCUCCACACACAAUGCAUAUAUAGUCGAUUGGAAGAAAGCCAUUAAGCUCAUCAAUCCUGUACUCGCGUAAUGGCAUGGAAAUGUUUCACUCAUCUUUGCCUGUAUUGAAAAAUUUGUGUGCCAAAAACAACUCAUACAUGUCCUUUCAUUACUCGAUGUGUAUAUAUAUAUAUAUUCUCUUUUCAUAACCGCACAUCUUAGACCGACCAGAUCGUUCAGCUUACACACAAGACCCUAACAAUAAUGUAUAGUAUAUGUUACUAAAGAAGGUUAAUGUCAGACUUCAAAAAAUCAAUAGAAAAGCCUUUGUAAAAGGUUAACAGCAUCGCUCCACCUAUUCCCAUUAACGUCCCGAAUACUUUUGUUUUUCCUACUGCUGUUCUAAUUUCUCCAACCUUUGAUAUAACAUGUACGUAUGUUAUACAAAUAAACACACACACACACAUCAUAUAUAUAUAUACAGUAGAACCUCUAUACAUUAAUAAUGUUGUGACUUUAGAAUUUUAUUAAUUUAUAGAGAUAUUAAUUUAUAAAAGUUUUCUUAUUUAGUUUUUUUUAUUCUAAGAUACCUUUAUUCUAAGAUAAGAAAAUCAUUUGAUUUUAGUGUAUACACAUUAAUUGUUAUUCUUUGAAAUUUGACAUUUAUAUUAAUUUUAUUAUAUUAUUCGGUGUAUAUAAUAUAUAUUGCGUAUAACUUAAAUGUGGUUUUAGAUAUAAUAUUACUAAAUCUCAUCGAAAAUAUAUUAAGUGUUAGAAAAUAUAAAGAUAAUUUCAUUGUGAAUAUAAAACAAACAAUAUAAAAAUAUAAAGAUAAUUUUAUUGUGAAUAUAAAACAAACAAUAUAAAGAUAAUUCAUUGUGAAUAAUUUUAAUGGAACCAUAUAUUUACAUAGAAUUUUCUAAAAAAUAUUAUCUUGUUAUUUUAUCGAUUCAUGUCAAAUUUUUAACCGGUCUAAAUUGAGUCCGGCAAAAUUUAUUAAUUUAUAGAGAUUAUUAAUUUAUCGAAUAUUAAUUUAUAGAUGUUAUAUUGUAUUACCUUGCUAUUACGCCAAUGACAAAAGUUACGGCGGGUAUAAGAUUUUCCAUUGCAGUUAUGAAUGUAGCCGACGUUAGUGCCAUACUUUUCAUAUAUAGAUGGUGCCCUAGAGAUUCUCUGCAAUAUCAUAUGUAUUUAUGUCUAAUUAGUUUAUAUAUAUGUAUUUAUGUCUAAUCGUAGUUAUAGUUGGAAAAUAUACAAAAUGUCAUGACAUAUAUGAAGUUCACAAUUAUAAAAAUUGGCAUACUUAAUAUCAUGUAAUCAAUUAUAGUGGUACAGAUUAGUGAUUAUUAUUACUAUCAAUUUAGAAUAUUGUCAUUCACAUCUAAUCUAUUAAAUUAGAGUCCUAUUUGAAAUUUACCAUGGCAUAUUUUUUUUUAGACCUAUUGAAAAUGUUGUGACUUAAUAUAAUUAAAAGACACGCUACUUAACUAUCUUAUAUGAUCACCAAUGUAUUUAGAUUUAUAUUUAGAUUUAUAUUUAGAUUAACAUAUAAUCUUAAAAAAAAAUCGGAUUCAUCCUAACUUAUUUUCAAACAAUUCCUAAACCCUAAUGUAUUCUUCAUCUUCAAGCCGCCACCUGUGGAAGUUUGAGAUGUAUUUCUGGAAAUAACCUUUUAUAACUUCUAUCCAACACCUGUGUGGCCUCUUCUUUUGACUGUUCCUGCCAUGAGUAUCGUUUUAUAAUUCUUUUUGUUGUGAGAUUUAAAUGUAGAUACGACUUUACUUUUCCUUAUUGCUCAUGCAUGUAUUGCUUUUCUCUGUAUUGAAACCUCUCUCUAAGCAUUGUCUUUUGUUAGAAUUGGGCUUUGGGUUUGGUGAUAAGUGAAUACUGAAUAGCCUGUUCAGUUUCAAAACAUUAUAGUCUGUGAACUUUUGUUUAACAUAUGUGCUUAUGUAGGUAGUGUGUUAUGUAUCAAUGAUAUGUGUUGAUCGAUGUGGCGUGUUCUGUCUCAGAUUAUACUUGAUGAGGCGAGAAAGUGGGAGAAUAAGAUUGUUCAGAUAUUUGUGAAGGUUGGUGGUGAUAAUAUGCAAAAGCUUCUCCUCGGAAACCUCUUUAAGAAUAUUCCUCGAGUUUCUCUUAAUCUCAUGUUCGAGCAAGAAUUUUAGAUCUCCCACGAGUGCUAAACCACCGGUGUCUAUGGAUGGGCAGUUUAACUCUGGUGAGUUCCGGUUAUGAUCUUUCUUUUUUCUUUUUUUUUGGAAUUGAGUUCCAGUUCUUGAGUCAAUGUUUUAAUAAUAUGAUUUUGUUUUAUCGAAGCCAAUCUUUUUUCUAUGUUCUUGCUGACUUUGAUUCAGAGGAUGAGGAAAUUCCCAUGAAUAUGUUUCAAAGUUGCAAGUGUUUAUUGGUGACAGACAAUGAGAUGGGGGACCUUCUCUUUCAGCUACUGGGAAGAAGUUUCUUCCCAAGCUCGAAAGAAAAUCAUCAGGUAUGCUAUAUGCAACACUAUCAUCUGUGAGUUUAUAGAACGAGUAUAUAUAUAUAAAUGAUUGUAUUGGUUUCCAAUGUUGCAGGUUAGGAUAUCAGUGUCAAGCACCACCAUACUCUAUUAUUAUACAGGUUGCUUUCUGCUUACACAAACUCUAAUUUACAAUAACAAAAAGUUGUCUGCAUUUUUUUCUAAAUGAUAGAUUGAUGUAGGAGACUGAAAAUGGAAGAUGGCAUGUCGCAAGAUGAUCUUCAGACAUCCAUGCAAUGGUUAUGCGCAAGAAGAUCCAAAACACAAAGAUGAAAUAAAACUGGGCUAAGGUGCUUUCUGAAGGCUACUUCCAGUGUUAUCUCCUUUGCGUCACUGUUAUGAUCUAUUUUCAUCAGAGCUCCAACUUUCAAUAUCUCUCCACAGACUAAUCCACAAGCUACUUUGACUAUGCUUGGAAGAAUUGCGUGUACAUGGGGAAGAUGUUGAGAAGAGUUUGAAUCAAUGAAAUACAUGUGAGAUACAAGAUGAGCUUGAUGGGAUUUUCAGGAUUAUUCUUACUGAUUCUAAAAAGUUUGUCUAUAGUUGUUGUAAACAACAAGACCGAGAUGUAAUGUGUUUACUCAGAGUAGCUGUUAUAGUAAAGUUUAAGGCUUACUAUUUCAGAAAGCAGAUGACAUGUUCAUAUUGCAUAAAUACAUACUAGAGAAAUUUUAAAUUUUAUACUAACACGCUCAAAAUUUUAUCGCAGAUACUAAAAUUGUUUUUUUGAACCAAUCCAAAAACCAAAAUAACUAAACCCAAAUUUAUAGAUAAUUGAAUGAUUCCUAUAUUUUUUCAUAUAAAAAUCAAAAACCACAACCAAACCGAAACCAAAUUGAAAACCAAAAAAUACAGUUUGGAAGCGAAUAAAAAAAUGAUGACUGCACUUAAACAUAUUAUUGAACAAAUUAAACAUAUUAAUAAAUUUGUUAACAAAAAUAAUUCCGCGCUUUCAAAGCGCGGGUACUAUCCUAGUGUUUAAUUAUAAAUAAGGUAGAGAUCUCAAUGAGAAAGUUAAUAACAAUGAUGUACAGAUUCGAUGCCACCCUACAAUUUUGGACGCCGUUCGUUAGAGAUGGCAAACGAGCCCACCCGCAACCAAAUGGCCCGCCCCGCCACGGGCUCAAGUUCAGUCGGGUCACAGCGGGCUGGCCCGCCGCGGGAUGCGGUAUCGAGAAGCAAUGUCCAAUCCCGCCCCGCCUAGUGCACAGGUCUUUGCGGGUAGGCCCGCGGGUCACCAUCCAGAAGUUGAACGUCUCAUUUGAUGCUUAACUAUAGCUUUUGAGUCAAUGCUUCUCGAUACAGUCAUACAGAUCAACAAAAGAAGUAUAUGAACCUCUAUCAUACGUUUCAUCUCUACGUAUCUUACAUAACAUUACUCUUGUGUUCAAUACAAACAUAUUGAACCUUAUCGGGAAAACAUUAUUCUUGUGUUGAAUGGCAUGUAGUAUCAACAAGAAACUAAAACAGAAAUAAUCUUUGAUGCGUAUGCACUGAUGUGUAUGCAUAAGAAUGACAUUAAGUAACAACACCAAAUCUAAGUAAUCAUAUCCAAGUAAUGUAAAUGAACACCCAAACAAAAUCCAAACAAUGUAACGUGGCCUCGGUAAAAACCUUAUCGAGAAAACCCAUUGGGACAAAACCCGACAAGGGAAAAAGAGCGCCACAAAAUCCAUAAUGCGAAUAA